UACGGGGGUGCGAGCGUUGUCCGGAAUCACUGGGCGUAAAGGGCGCGUAGGUGGUUUGAUAAGGGUGUGGUGAAAGUCCGGGGCUCAACCCCGGAUCUGCCGUGCCGACUGUCAAACUCGAGGGCUGUAGAGGCAGACGGAAUUCUGGGUGUAGCGGUGGAAUGCGUAGAGAUCCGGAGGAAGACCGGUGGCGAAGGCGGUCGCUGGGCAGUU
rnacentral:rRNA from 1 species